AGCGAACGCUGGCGGCAGGCCUAACACAUGCAAGUCGAGCGGACGUAGCAAUACGUCAGCGGCAGACGGGAGAGUAACACGUGGGAACGUACCCUUUGGUUCGGAACAACCCAGGGAAACUUGGGCUAAUACCGGAUAAGCCCUCACGGGGAAAGAUUUAUCGCCGAAGGAUCGGCCCGCGUCUGAUUAGCUAGUUGGUGGGGUAAUGGCCCACCAAGGCGACGAUCAGUAGCUGGUCUGAGAGGAUGAUCAGCCUCACUGGGACUGAGACACGGCCCAGAAUCCUACGGGAGGCGGCAGUGGGGAAUAUUGGACAAUGGGCGCAAGCCUGAUCCAGCCAUGCCGCGUGGGUGAUGAAGGCCCUAGGGUUGUAAAGCCCUUUCGGCGGGGAAGAUAAUGACGGUACCCGCAGAAGAAGCCCCGGCUAACUUCGUGCCAGCCGCCGCCGUAA
rnacentral:rRNA from 1 species